AACGAACGCUGGCGGCAGGCCUAACACAUGCAAGUCGAACGUGAAGCCACCUUCAGGUGGUGGAAAGUGGCAGACGGGUGAGUAACGCGUGGGAACGUGCCUUUCGGUUCGGGAUAACCCAGGGAAACUUGGGCUAAUACCGGAUACGCCCUCCGGGGGAAAGAUUCAUUGCCGAAAGAUCGGCCCGCGUCGGAUUAGCUGGUUGGUGGGGUAAAAGCCUACCAAGGCGACGAUCCGUAGCUGGUCUGAGAGGAUGACCAGCCACACUGGGACUGAGACACGGCCCAGACUCCUACGGGAGGCAGCAGUGGGGAAUAUUGGACAAUGGGCGCAAGCCUGAUCCAGCAAUGCCGCGUGUGUGAAGAAGGCCUGCGGGUUGUAAAGCACUUUCGGUGGGGAGGAAGGCGUCAUGGCUAAUAGUCAUGACGAUUGACGUUACCCACAGAAGAAGCACCGGCUAA
rnacentral:rRNA from 1 species